UAUCGCGACAACAGACACGGCUGCCAAGGCAGUUGCGGUAGCUCCCUCGCGUGUCCGGAGGCCGCGCUGCGUUGCAGACUUACUUAUUUUCUCUUAGGCUGACGGGGGAAGUAAGUUUCUGAAGAAAGAGACGCCACUCGGCCUCGUUUAAACCUGAACUCUGUACUCCCAGCACUCCAGAGGCUGAAGCAAGAGGAUCGUGAGUUCAAGCCCAGCGUGGGCGACGUGAAACCUGUGACGACGAUUCACCAGGGUAAAACCCAAACCACCCAAGGCUCCAGAAAACAAAGGAGAGAGACUACAAACCUCAUACACCUGCAAACCAGUGGAUGGCCUCAAGUUUGUUUUCAGAAAAUACCAACCAACCUGGUGUGCCAAAUAGCCAUUAAAUUUCAGAUAAUGAGCCAAGCCAAGGAUUAAAACCCACUUCCAUAUCUACAGCUCAUCAAGAACUCCUUGGAGGAGGCAUAUAGCUCUCUUAGCCCCUAGAUCACAGAGGACAAGAGCUUCAUGGUCUCUGGGAUCAGAAUGGUUUGAAAACCACUGCUUCCAGUAUAGAUUGAAUGAAGUCAGUGAGCUCAAGUCAUCAAGGGGGAAAAAAUGCUGGCUGCUGCUGCUGCUGAGCUGGCUGAGAAGGUGGUGGCCGUCGUGCCAGGACUGGAGGCUGUGAAGGACCCAGUCACAAAAGCAAUCUCGGACAAUAGGGUGGGAAAAGACCAGAGAAGUGAGGCUCAGAGGAGAGGUGAUGCUGACCUCGGCUCACAGUCACUGAGGACCAGAAGCCACCCCAGAUGUCCAAGUCCAGGCAGCAGUGCUCUCUGUAGGUCUGGGAUCCUUGGAGAGGCUCUGCAAGGCCAGCUUGGGUUAUGAGAAAGAGCUUUCCGGCAAUUAGAGCUGUUCAAACAGUGGUUCAGCCCAAGGGAUUUGGUGACAGUGACCCACCAGGAAGCUGUGGAGGGGUGGAGGAGGAAGUAAUUCGGUUGGCAGACUCUGAUUUUGAUCCUGAGAGUCCAAAUGCACUUGGUCACAAAACAUCAAUACUAUGACUUAAAGUGUCAAACUGUAACAAAUACCACAUCUUACUUUUAUUUUUCUUUUCAUUAGAUAACUUGUAUUUUAAGGGAAAAAAAAUGAACUGGAUUGCCAUUUACUGCCUUGCGCUCUCGGACAUGGGAAGUGGUUUAAAAAGUGAGCUGAGAAAAGUGCUUA